rnacentral:rRNA from 1 species
CGGAGGGGCUAGCGUUGUUCGGAAUUACUGGGGCGUAAAAGCGCACGUAGGCGGAUCGGGAAGUCAGAGGUGAAAUCCCAGGGCUCAACCUUGGAACUGCCUUUGAAACUCCUGGUCUUGAGUUCGAGAGAGGUGAGUGGAAUUCCGAGUGUAGAGGUGAAAUUCGUAGAUAUUCGGAGGAACACCAGUGGCGAAGGCGGCUCACUGGCUCGAUACUGACGCUGAGGUGCGAAAAGCGUGGGGGAGCAAACAGGAUU